GUUUAGUUAGGUAAUUGGAGCAAUAGACAGUUGAAUUAUGAAACUUUUGAGAGCAUGAUAGAUUAUAUGUAUUUUUGACCAUUUACUUUUAAGUUUUUUGUUGAGUUUGUCACUAAAGCUUUUUGAAGGGUUGAUCCUUGUGUGAUUUCUGUUCUGAAAUCACAGGUUGCUGGUUUUGAGAGUUGAUCUGAUGAAGGCUGAUACAACUGUCAUCCUUCGGAAUGCUAAGAUCGACAUGUUCAAAAGCACCAUGAGACUAGCUGUGGACAAAUGGGGACGCGUCGAGGUUACUGAACCUGCUGCAUUUGAAGUGAAACAGGAUAACAAUCUCUCCCUUGUUGAGUAUGAGCUGGUGAAUAUGGAGUGAACAAAAGGAUCUUUUUAGUGAAAGUGCUAACUAGUUGAAGUUCAUAGUUCUACUACCAGGUUUAGUACUAUUAUCCUCCAUUUUGUUGUAGUUGUGGUCCCUUGGAAUUGGAAAGUACUAACUUUGAAGAUGGUAAUAUUUGGUAAGAGUAAACUUGAAACUAGCAGGAAUCAAUGGUAUAAAAAGAAAACUUAAUCUAGUAAGAUAAACCUAACUUUAUGUGUGAUGCUUUUUAUUUGCUAUGUUGCUCGGACUCUUAAAAAAUGCUGAAGGGUGUGUGUCGGAUUCUCCAAAAGCAAUGCAUUUUUGGAGGAUCCACCAUAGAUGUGACAACAUUUUAUAGAGUCUGUACAACGUAAUUUAUUUGAGAAAAUAAUCCUUCAUGUAUUUCGAUCCGUUUAUCAGUUUGUUCCUAAGCCCUAUGAGUGACAAAAGUCGCUACUUUUGCUGCCAAAAUACAUUGAGCCCAGCCUUAUGCAGGGGAUGUGAUCUACCGAUAUACAAAACAAAGAUCCCUUGUAUUACAACACAAACAACAACAUACUAUGUGUAAUCCCACAAGUGGGAUCUGAUGAAUGACAGAUCAUGAUACGAUCUUUUUGUAGUUAGGUCUUAUUAGAUUAACUUUCGUUGAUACAUUUCAAGUAUAUCCAUUUUCAGUCUACUGAUUAGGUUGUCAACUUGGAUUUUGAAAUUACAUAACAUCAAUGAAUGAUGCUCUUGCCCAGUUUUUGCGCAUCUGAGUAUUCCACAGGUACCUGCUACUUUCCACCCAGUAUAGAUACUAGGUAAAUUUGUCUUUUAACGCUUUAGAUGUAGUGAAAAGUUAUCACCUAGUUAAAUUCCUAAAUAUUUGAGUGUUUAUGUUUGAAUAUAAAGAGAUGAAGGUCUUUUCGGAAACCAACCCUCUAUCUUCAUAAGGUAGGAUAAGGUUUGCGUACACAUUACUGUAUACCUUACUUAAUCCACUUGCGAGAUUAUGUUAGGUUUAUUACUGUUAUACUUUUGUAUAUAAAGUUGCCAAAAAUGGCAUGGUCAAAGAAUAUGAAGAGAAGAAGGGCCUAUCAAACUAGUUCUUAUUUAAGUAAUCAUUGUAGCAAGUCAUGUGACAGAUAAGUUUGUUUAAUGUUUUGUCAUAAAUCAUUGAUUCUUUGAGCAAAACAUAAAUCUAAUAUUAGUUCUUUGUAUUUCCCUUUCUUGUAUUAUGAUAUCAUAAACAAAUAACUCAACUAAUGGGGUCCUUCCAAAAAUCCAAAGGACUUUGGACCGUUUAAACUAAUGGUGUCUCCAUCAUCAUCUUCUUCACAUAAUUUAAUUAGCAUAAUUAAAAAAAAUAUGAUGUGCUCUAUACCCUAUUUCAAUUUGAUUGAGAAUGUUAGUCAUCAAGCUUAAAAGAAACCAUUUAAUUUCUAGCAUAUGAUAAAAAAGAAGAAAGAUAAUGGUCAAAAAGUAAAUUUCAAUCAUCACUUUCCGACUUGAAAAUCAGGUGUUUGUGUUUUCUACGUAAACUAUUACUAACUAUUUAUUAAAAGACAUUUGAAAUUUACGAGUCAGUUGUCAUAUGGAUAAAUUAAGUUGUCAUGUACAUUUUGGCGAUUGUAUUCAAUCAUUUAAUCUAUAGUCAAUUUUAAGAUAUGUGUGUGAUAAAUAUAUAUUGAUAAUUUAGGUAAAAAACACAAAAAGUUGGUAUUUCAAGUUUCAGACAAAAAAAAAAACAAUAUUUCAAAUGCAUUUUUCAUAGUUAUAUCUUAAAAAUAAGUAACUAACAACUCAAACACUUUGACUUCUAUGUUUCUUAUCUGAUCGCUUCCAUUCUGACUAAAUUGACUGUCAUCCUAACAAUAUCUUCUUUCUUGUAGUAUUAUUUUUUCAAGGAAAGGAGUUAUCUUAUUUCAUUUCGACUGAGCUGAUCGUCGCAUCUAACUUGUAUGUUUCAUUA